rnacentral:rRNA from 1 species
AAUCAACGCUGGCGGCGUGCCUCAGACAUGCAAGUCGAACGAUUAAAGCUCUCUUCGGAGAGUGUAUAGAGUGGCGCACGGGUGAGUAACACGUAAGUAAUCUACCCUCGGGUGGGAAGUAACAUCGGGAAACCGAGUGCUAAUACCGCAUAAUGCAGCGGCUCCUAAUGGAGACAGUUGUUAAAGGUAUUUAUUCGUCCUGGGGAGGAGGCUUGCGGCAGAUUAGCAGUUGGUAAGGUAAUGGCUUACCAAGGCUACGACCUGUAGCCGGUCUAAGAGGACGGUCGGUCACACUGACACUGAAUAACGGGGUCAGACUCCUACGGGAGGCAGCAGUCGGGAAUUUUGGGCAA